UACGGAAGGCAGCAGUGGGGAAUAUUGCACAAUGGGCGCAAGCCUGAUGCAGCCAUGCCGCGUGUAUGAAAAAGGCCUUCGGGUUGUAAAGUACUUUCAGUCGUGAGGAAGGUGUUAAGGUUAAUAACCUUAGCAAUUGACGUUAGCGACAGAAGAAGCACCGGCUAACUCCGUGCCAGCAGCCGCGGUAAUACGGAGGGUGCGAGCGUUAAUCGGAAUUACUGGGCGUAAAGGGCACGCAGGCGGUUAAUUAAGUUGGAUGUGAAAUCCCCGGGCUUAACCUGGGAAUGGCAUUCAAGACUGGUUAGCUAGAGUCUUGUAGAGGGGGUAGAAUUCCAUGUGUAGCGGUGAAAUGCGUAGAGAUGUGGAGGAAUACCGGUGGCGAAGGCGGCCCCUGGACAAAGGCUGACGCUCAUGUGCGAAAGCGUGGGGAGCAAACAGGGAUUAGAUACCCGU
rnacentral:rRNA from 1 species